rnacentral:rRNA from 1 species
UAAGGAAUAUUGGACAAUGCCCGCAAGGGUGAUCCAGCCAUGCCGCGUGCAGGAAGACGGCCCUAUGGGUUGUAAACUGCUUUUGCACCAGGGAAAACCCCCGUUCGUGAACGGGGCUGAUAGUAUGGUGAGAAUAAGCAUCGGCUAACUUCGUGCCAGCAGCCGCGGUAAGACGAAGGAUGCAAGCGUUAUCCGGAUUCAUUGGGUUUAAAGGGAGCGUAGGUGGCCUUAUAAGUCAGUGGUGAAAUCUCUCAGCUUAACUGAGAAAUUGCCAUUGAUACUGUAGGGCUUGAGUACAGAUGCCGUUGGCGGAAUAUGACAUGUAGUGGUGAAAUACAUAGAGAUGUCAUAGAACACCGAUUGCGAAGGCAGCUGACGAAACUGUAACUGACACUGAGGCUCGAAAGUGCGGGGAUCAAACAG